rnacentral:rRNA from 1 species
GAUGAACGCUGGCGGCGUGCCUAAUACAUGCAAGUCGAGCGAACAGACGAGGAGCUUGCUCCUCUGACGUUAGCGGCGGACGGGUGAGUAACACGUGGAUAACCUACCUAUAAGACUGGGAUAACUUCGGGAAACCGGAGCUAAUACCGGAUAAUAUAUUGAACCGCAUGGUUCAAUAGUGAAAGACGGUUUUGCUGUCACUUAUAGAUGGAUCCGCGCCGCAUUAGCUAGUUGGUAAGGUAACGGCUUACCAAGGCAACGAUGCGUAGCCGACCUGAGAGGGUGAUCGGCCACCCUGGACCUGAGACACGGUCCAGACUCCUACGGGAGGCAGCAGUAGGGAAUCUUCCGCAAUGGGCGAAAGCCUGACGGAGCAACGCCGCGUGAGUGAUGAAGGUCUUCGGAUCGUAAAACUCUGUUAUUAGGGAAGAACAAAUGUGUAAGUAACUAUGCACGUCUGGACGGUACCUAAUCAGAAAGCCACGGCUAACUACGG